rnacentral:misc_RNA from 1 species
GAUGAAGAACGCAGCGAAAUGCGAUAAGUAAUGUGAAUUGCAGAAUUCAGUGAAUCAUCGAAUCUUUGAACGCACAUUGCGCCCGCCAGUAUUCUGGCGGGCAUGUCUGUUCGAGCGUCAUUUCAACCAUCAAGCCCCCGGGCUUGUGUUGGGGACCUGCGGCUGCCGCAGGCCCUGAAAAGCAGUGGCGGGCUCGCUGUCACACCGAGCGUAGUAGAUUUUAUCUCGCUCUGGGCGUGCUGCGGGUUCCGGCCGUUAAACCACCCUUUUAACCCAAGGUUGACCUCGGAUCAGGUAGGAAGACCCGCUGAACUUAAGCAUAUCAAUAAGCGGAGGA